rnacentral:rRNA from 1 species
UACGGGGGGGGCAAGCGUUGUUCGGAAUUACUGGGCGUAAAGCGCAUGUAGGCGGCAGCGCAAGUCGGGCGUGAAAUCCCACGGCUCAACCGUGGAAGUGCACUCGAAACUGCGCAGCUAGAGUCCUGGAGAGGAAGGUGGAAUGCUUGGUGUAGAGGUGAAAUUCGUAGAUAUCGGGAGGAACACCAGUGGCGAAAGCGGCCGACUGGGCCCAACCUGACGCUGAGGCGCGAAAGCGUGGGGAGCGAACCGG